rnacentral:lncRNA from 1 species
GGCCAUGUAUAAGCUGGUGUUGACCUGGCAGGAUGAGAGUGUCUGGAACCCACCUUCUGUGGCUGGUAGCAUGCCAACCUUGAGCCCGGCAAGCCAUGAGCAGGCAUAGCAUGGCGGGAAGCUGCUGUGAGAUGUUGGCUACGAGUUCGAUAUCUUCUUCACCUCAGUGCAAAAGAAAGUGACCUGGACCCUCUGGGCAGUGCUAGAUGCCAUUGGCCAGAGGUGGCUGCUUGUAGUGAGGACUUGGCACCUCAGUGAGCUGCACUAUGGUGGUCUGACCAACCCAAUAAACACAAACUACUGCCAAGCAUGCUGAGGCUCAGGUAAAGAUCUGGAGGUGCUCCUAUGCUGUCCUACCACCUCUGAAGGAGCCUGACCAUCCCUUCUACAGCAGUGUCAGUAAGGACUGCAGGUAUGCAGAUCCCACUGAAGAUCAGCUACCCACCUGUGAGUCUGAAGGACACUACUGCCAGAGCUCUGCCCUUUUGGAAUGAAGAAAUAGUUCCCCAGAUCAAGGAGGGGAAACAAGUACUGACUGCAGCCCAUGGCAGCAGCC